AGAAGAACUGGCCAAGACCUGGUCCCAGCAGACUGAGGAGAGCACCUCAGUGGUCACCUCACAGUUUGCUGAGGUCGGAGCUGCUAAGA
ensembl:miRNA